rnacentral:tRNA from 1 species
GCCGGGGUGGCCGAGCGGUCUAAGGCGGCGGGCUGCAGUGACCCGUUUUUCCCGGGUUCGAAUCCCGGCCCCGGCU